AACGAACGCUGGCGGCAUGCCUAACACAUGCAAGUCGAACGAGACCUUCGGGUCUAGUGGCGCACGGGUGCGUAACGCGUGGGAACCUGCCCUGAGGUUCGGAAUAACUCCCCGAAAGGGGUGCUAAUACCGGAUAAUGUCUUCGGACCAAAGAUUUAUCGCCUUUGGAUGGGCCCGCGUUGGAUUAGCUAGUUGGUAGGGUAAAAGCCUACCAAGGCGACGAUCCAUAGCUGGUCUGAGAGGAUGAUCAGCCACAGUGGGACUGAGACACGGCCCAGACUCCUACGGGAGGCAGCAGUGGGGAAUAUUGGACAAUGGGCGAAAGCCUGAUCCAGCAAUGCCGCGUGAGUGAUGAAGGCCUUAGGGUUGUAAAGCUCUUUUACCCGGGAUGAUAAUGACAGUACCGGGAGAAUAAGCUCCGGCUAACUCCGUG
rnacentral:rRNA from 1 species